GCCUGGGUGGCUCAGUCGGUUAAGCGUCCGACUUCAGCUCAGGUCAUGAUCUCGCGGUCUGUGGGUUCAAGCCCCACGUCGGGCU
rnacentral:tRNA from 1 species